CUAGAAAGGCAGAUUGGUGCAGAAAUGGCAGAAGAGGAGGGUAGCCUUGUUAGAACAGUGUCUGGCACACAGUUCCUGCUUUGUAAGUGCACAGGCAUGAUUAAGAAGAUGGGCUCUGCUGUGAGGCGAACUUCAGCACAAAUUCUGACUCUGCCACUGACAGUGUCGCCCUGGGAGAGUUAAAUGAAAGAAUGCUACCAAAACCUCAGCACUCAUCUGGCACAGAGUGAGGGCUCAGUAAAUAUCAGCUGCUACUGCUGUAUGCCAGUCACACAGAAAAACCAUCAGGAUGCAGGCCAAAAACCAAAUGGCCCUUGUGACUUGGGAUAAAGUUUCCGGUGACUGAAUCAUAUGUGGAUUCAAAUUGUGCUGUGUCCUAUCCCAAACUCUUCACUUGGACUGGAGAGAAGGUUAUCCAUUCUGGGAAAAUAGAGCCACCAGACUAAGGAAGGAUGUUGUGUGGAGCCAUGAGAAUGGAUGUGGUUACCUAUGGAGAAUAUGUAGUGAGAAGCGGGUCUGUCAAGGGGUGAGUGACAGAAGAAGAUUCACAAGAGAGAUUGGGAAGAAGCAACUGACAAGACGUAUUUAUUUGAGAGAGGAUGAAUGGGAGGGGCAAAUGAAGAGGGAGA